UACGAAGGGGGCUAGCGUUGCUCGGAAUUACUGGGCGUAAAGCGCACGUAGGCGGAUUGUUAAGUCGGGGGUGAAAUCCUGGAGCUCAACUCCAGAACUGCCUUCGAUACUGGCGAUCUCGAGUUCGGGAGAGGUGAGUGGAACUGCGAGUGUAGAGGUGAAAUUCGUAGAUAUUCGCAAGAACACCAGUGGCGAAGGCGGCUCACUGGCCCGAUACUGACGCUGAGGUGGCGAAAGCGUGGGGAGCAAACAGG
rnacentral:rRNA from 1 species